rnacentral:rRNA from 1 species
GACGAACGCUGGCGGCGUGCUUAACAUAUGCAAGUCGAACGGAAAGGCCCUGCUUUUGUGGGGUGCUCGAGUGGCGAACGGGUGAGUAACACGUGAGUAACCUGCCCUUGACUUUGGGAUAACUUCAGGAAACUGGGGCUAAUACCGGAUAGGAGCUCCUGCUGCAUGGUGGGGGUUGGAAAGUUUCGGCGGUUGGGGAUGGACUCGCGGCUUAUCAGCUUGUUGGUGGGGUAGUGGCUUACCAAGGCUUUGACGGGUAGCCGGCCUGAGAGGGUGACCGGCUACAUUGGGACUGAGAGAGGGCCCAGAGACCGACGGGAGGCAGCAGUGGGGAAUAUUGCACAAGGGGCGGGAGCCUGAGGCAGCAACGCCGCGUGCGGGAUGACGGACUUCGGGAUGUAAACCGCUUCCGCCUGUGACGAAGCGUGAGUGACGGUAAGGGAGAAAGAAGCACCGGCUAACUACGUG